AGUGAACGCUGGCGGCAGGCCUAACACAUGCAAGUCGAGCGGCAGCGGGUUCCCGCGAGGGGAUGCCGGCGAGCGGCGGACGGGUGAGGAACACAUCGGAAUCUGCCUGGUUGUGGGGGAUAACGUAGGGAAACUUACGCUAAUACCGCAUGAGACCCUGAGUCGACGGACUGGGGGUGAAAGUGAGGGACCUUCGGGCCUCACGCGACCAGAUGAGCCGAUGCGGAUUAGCUAGUUGGCGGGGUAACGGCCCGCCAAGGCGACGAUCCGUAGCUGGUCUGAGAGGAUGAUCAGCCACACUGGGACUGAGACACGGCCCAGACUCCUACGGGAGCAGCAGUGGGGAAUCUUGGACAAUGGGCGCAAGCCUGAUCCAGCCAUGCCGCGUGG
rnacentral:rRNA from 1 species